UUUCCGUAGGUGAACCUGCGGAAGGAUCAUUAUUGUAUAACCGAGGUGCGAGGGCCGUCGCUGACCCGAAAGGUCGUGCACGCCCGAGUGCCCUCACACACAUCCAUCUCACCCCUAUGUGCACCACCGCGUGGGUCCCCCUUUGGCUUGUUCGGAGGGGGGCUUACGUUUUCACACAAACUUUGUAUGCAGUGUAGAAUGUAUUUUUUGUUUUUGCGAUCACGCAAUCAAUACAACUUUCAACAACGGAUCUCUUGGCUCCC
rnacentral:misc_RNA from 1 species